AUUCUCCCGGAAGUGAUUGGUGGCGUGAAACCAACGGCGCAUGCCUCCCGGGAGUUUUAAUCAAGGUUUUAAUUCAGACCGUUUGGCUGUGGAGCAUGGUGAAAACUGAAAGAAAAAUGAAAAGAAACGAAAUAAAAGAGGAUCGGACUAUCGGGAGGAAUUGCGCGACAUACGCUGGAAGAUACGCACAGGCAGGCCAACAUGAGGAAGAUGAAGGUGAAGAGGCCAGAGAAGGAAACUGCGACCACGGCCAGAGAGGACGACCAGGAAAGCUCGCUUAGCGGGGCGCCGUCUGCAGGACAGAGGAGGCUCUGCUGGCCCACAGGAAGACGGCGAAAGAGCAACAGGAAGCGUGGCAGAUGGGAAAUCGCCCCGACAUGGCGUCUCUGGAUCACAUGGAAUUGGGCUGCUUCGAGCUGUGUCACAGUGCCCUUCUGCCGCGUCCCUGCUGUUGCCAUACGAAGCGUCCAAAUAGGUAGAGGGGGGAAGAAAAAAAAAAACGACACGGCCACACAUGGAAUCAGCCAAUCAGAUUGCGGGUGAGCUGCGCCUCAGAAGGUGAUUAGACAGGCAGAAUGGGGGCGGGGUUACCCCGGAGCACCCUCUCACAGGCUUGCUGGGGUGCCGUGACCUGAAAUUCCUCAAAACGCAAUGCGCCCUGGGGCAGCCAAAACAACAGGGGGCAACUAUGAAACCCAGAAACAGGCUGGAGCAGUGUCAGAUUCUCUGGACAAACCCCCUGCCUCUCCCCCAGCCCACCCCUCCCAUCCCCUCCACCUUCUCUAAAAUGAUUAUGAACCUCCCCGCUGUGGGAAAGAGGCCCAGCAUGAAUAUUUGAAGAGCACACAUUUCUGCGCCAGCAAAAUGAGGAAAAAAAAAAAAAACACUUAAGCUAAGCUCCCGUCCCUCUUAUUAAGAUCCCAUGUAAACAGAGAGAGAGAGAGAGACAUGGGGUGGGUUGAUACAAUCAUUCUGUUCUCCCGAGCCCUGUGCCAAUUGUCUUUGUUAAACAAAUUAACUAACGCCCAAUAUGCAGGUAAACGCACAUACAUCCAGCCGGGACGAUGUUAAUUUGUUCCGCCGAGAUUAUGUUAAUAUGUUAAUAAUGAAGGACGCUGACACACGGGUAUCCAAGGAAACGCGUCAUUGUAACGUGGGCGUGGACGCAUGGGGCGGGAGAGGAGCCUCUAAGCGCCCGUCUUCGCCUCUCUCUCUCUCUCUCUCUCUCUCUCUCUCUCUCUCUCUCUCUCUCUCUCUCUCUCUCUCUCCCUCCCUCCCUCUCUCUCUCUCUCUCUCUCUCUCUCUCUCUCUCUCGCUCGCUCCUUUCGUGCUUGUGAGACUUCCCCCCCGAACCGCCUCUCACGCGGUGUCUGCUGUUUAAAACCUGAGCCUGAAUCGUCCCUUCCGCUUCCCCGCUUUCAAGCGCUUCCUGCCCGAACGGAACGCGGGGCAGCGGGGAAACGAGGAGCGGG